rnacentral:rRNA from 1 species
UACGAAGGGGGCUAGCGUUACUCGGAAUUACUGGGCGUAAAGGGCGCGUAGGCGGCUUGGCCAGUCAGGCGUGAAAUUCCUGGGCUUAACCUGGGGACUGCGCUUGAUACUGCUGGGCUUGAGGCCGAGAGAGGGUGGUGGAAUUCCCAGUGUAGAGGUGAAAUUCGUAGAUAUUGGGAAGAACACCGGUGGCGAAGGCGACCACCUGGCUCGAUACUGACGCUGAGGUGCGAAAGCGUGGGGAGCAAACAGG